rnacentral:lncRNA from 1 species
UCAUCAGGGUCCUCCUCUUCAAGUUCUUUCUCCUCAGAUUCCUCAUCAGGGUCCUAAAAUGUUGUCCCACAAUUGGGAUGAGACUAUGUCUCAACAAGUUCUACCUCUUAAGACCCGAUUAGGAAGCCAAUACACCUUAGGGUUGCCUAAGCACAACACGAGUCGGAGGACUUACCUUGGUCUCAGUUCCUUCCUGCAAGUCAGUAUAUAUAUCAGAUAUACAUGAACACAUUACAUCACAUCACCUAAUCAAUUGCGAUAGAACUAUCAAUCAAUCGACCUAGUCG